rnacentral:rRNA from 1 species
UACAGAGGGUGCAAGCGUUGUUCGGAAUUAUUGGGCGUAAAGGGCGCGUAGGCGGUGCGGUAAGUCUGCAGUGAAAUCUCUGGGCUCAACUCAGAGUCUGCUGUGGAAACUGCCGUGCUUGAGUGUGGGAGAGGAGAGUGGAAUUCCUGGUGUAGCGGUGAAAUGCGCAGAUAUCAGGAAGAACACCCGUGGCUAAGGCGGCUCUCUAGUACGGUACUGACGCUGAGACGCGAAAGCGUGGGGAGCGAACAGG